CCCACAUUAGGGGCCUACAGCCCACCCCCAGCACCCUGUUGACUGAACUGCAAACUGCAUUUAUUAGCCAUUUGGCAUAACCAUCAGAUAAGUGGAAGGAUGUCAGCGUAUCAGCAGAGUGUCUCUGGAGGCCUCACACCACAUAGAAAGGACCGAAAAGUGAACAGUGCAAGUCAAAAUGGCGUCAAAAGAAGUGACCUGAAAAAGCUGCCUGGAAUAUUUUGAUAUCCACAAAAUAAAAGAACUUGAAUCAUCAGAAUAUCAUUAACACUGCUUUUUAGUUAUAACUUUCAUGUGAUGUUUGGUUUAGAA